rnacentral:lncRNA from 1 species
GGAGCCAGCACAGCCACCAACGUCUAGUGUCCGAGAACGCAUGAAUGAGAUGGGCUUGCAUAAAAAAUUUCCCAGACCACAACAAAAUGCUGGUUGAAUUCAAAAAAACAUUUGAGGGACACAUCGAACGUACAAAAUUGUCAACAGGAGGUUGACAAUGUAUCAAGGAUGAUACGAUAUCUGCAACCAGCUGGUGAGGAGAUUAGCCUGGAUUUACUUGGUUGUAGCAUGGAGACCAGUGACUACAUCAGCCAACUAAAGCAAGCCAAGCUCGUCCCAGCAACAGUUUAGAAUUGCAUAAAAAAUAUGAUAAGGUUUUGUGAGUUUCUUAAACUCAGAGAUAUCCAGGAUCGUACACUAAAGCAAAGAUGCGAAUCCUACAUUUCUUUGCUGGGCACGUUGAGGAAACCUGUUGCUAAGGCCAACAGCAAAAAUGUUUGCAGAAAGAGGUACGAUGAGUUUACUGAAGGUCAAACAUCUGUGGCUGGGUGCCAAACAUUAUUGCGGACUGCAAAAAAAGAUGUUACUCAUAUUUGGGGAGUUAAUGAACAACAACCCAGUGACCAAGGACCAGAAAACACUUUGCAGAUAUUACUGUGGAGCAAUCCUCAUCCUGGGACAUUUCCAGAGGCCAGGAGCAGUAGAAGGCUUUUCUGUAAGUCCCAACCUCAACAUGAGUUGUUUCUCUCUCAGCAGAAAGUAAUGUGGGAAGGUGGAGAAACGAGGGCCCGGGCGGGAUUCUAUCCCCAGACUCCCGGGUGAGAGUCAUACACUCUAACCAGUCAGCCAAAGGGACAUCCCCUUGGCCAAGUAGCCAGGGCGCAUGAUCAGUCGGGACAUUGUGACGGGACACUCACACUGUCACAGUAAUAUACACAACCUUUCACAACUUUUUUUGUUUGA